GAGAGAGAAAAAAACGCACAGAGGGUGGAAAAGUGCUCAACUCUCCCCCCCUAAGCCGCGGCGCGCACCCGUCCACGCCGAGCGCGCAGCCUGCCUGGUCCGCUCGGCCCCGGCGCUCUCGGCCCGCCGCCGGGCAGGUAGGAUAAGGAUACCAUCCACAUUUAGUUUUACUUCGUCAACCCCCAAACUUGCAACAUUGUGUCCCCUGGCAUCUGGGAGCGUUUGGGGGCCCUGAUGACUGUCCAGUGGACACCCUCCAUUCUCCCGAGAAAGACUUCAGAGGGAAGUCAAAAUAGGAGUGGGCAGUGUUUACCUUACGAGGGUGAAUUCCUCAUUGCCGCACACCUCAGAGGCCCAAGACCUGGUAAAAAAAAAAAAAAAAAAAAAAAAAAAAAAAAAAGCUGGAAGUUUGUGUCCAAGAGUUUCCAGCGUCGAAGAAUGUGUGGAAACAGUCUCUUUACCUACCCCCAACUUUUUUAGAGCAAGUGUUGAAAUUGUGACAUGAUGAGGAGAAUUUUGUCGCGCGCCUAACGUCUCGCCAGCAAGAACGACACGCGGACACCAGGAUCCUUCUGCAGCAAAGCGUUUAUUGCAUCUUGAAGAGGAGAGAGCGAGCCCCAGAAUGGCGCUGCUUAUAUACACCCUAAUGUGGCGUGUCCACGCCUGAUUGGUCGCUUACCCAUGAUCUCAUUGGCACGCCCCGGGGUGGGAAAAGACUUGGCACGAACACACUCUUGCACAUGCACACACAGCUAGUUUCCUGAAAGGAAGUCGGGCUGGCGCAGCAGAAGCCAGCGCCAUCUUGUAAUGGCGAAUGUUAUUGUGGCUUUCCACGUGGGGCACAGCGGAAGCCAGCGCCAUCUUGUGACGGCGAAUGCUAUCGCGGCUUUCCACAGAAUUUCUUUUGAGUCCAGUAGAUUUAUUUGGUGUUCUGGAAGUAAACUUCUUGUGCCUUUAUAAGAGUGUCCCUUCUUAAGAGAUUUUAAUAUUUUGUUAAAAAUUUUUUUUGGAUUUUCGAGUUGAGAUUUUUCUCUUUAGGCCUAUUAUUCUUAAGCUGGCUCUUUUUAUACUUUCCCAAAUUUCCUGGAUGCCAGGAAUUUUUUAGAUUUAACAUUUUCUAUGACUGAUGUAUCAUUUUUUUUUAAUUGUGUCUUCAAUGCCUGAGAUUCUCUCUUUCAUUUCUGGCUUUCUCUUGCUGAAAUUUACCACUGUAGUUGUUUAAAUUCCUACAUUUUGUAUUUCCAGAAUCCCCUCAGUCUAUGAUUUCUUUAUUGCUUCUAUUUCUACUUUCAGGUAUUGACCAGUUUGUUCAUUUCCUUCAGCUGUUUGUUUUUCUUGGCUUUCUUUAAGGGUAUUAUGCAUUUUCUGGAAUUUUUGUUUCUUUACUUUCUUUAAAGGAUUGAUCCAUUUCCUCUUUAAGGACCUCUAUCAUCUUCAUGAAGUUGAUUUGAAGGUCAUUUUCCUGUGCUUUUCCUAUGUUGGAAUAUUCAGGUUUGCUGUCCUAGGACAGUAGAAUUGAGCUCUCUGGUAGUGACAUACUGCCCUGGCUGGUGUCUAUUAUAUUCUUCCGCUGGCACCUAAGCAUCUGAGCUUGGGAUAAUGAUAGGUCAAGUGCUGAUUUCUGAGGGUUUUUUGUUGUUGUUGUUAUUGUUGGUUGAGUGUUUUCCCCUUUGGUUUCUGAUUCUUCUCUGGUUUUUUGACUGGAGUGGCCUGUGGUUGAAUAAAGUGGCUCCACCCAAGAUUGGUGCUGGAGUUACUUAUGGUGGAACAGUAUGUCCCCUGUUCUAGCAGAGUGCCUCUACUGGAGUUCGGGGCUAGGAGUUCAUUACAAGGAAGCGGGCAAUGGUUAGGUGUGUCCUUAGCAGGAGCUGAAGAAGUGGAGGUGGUUCGUGGGAAAGCAGCCUUCUGGAGGCUGGUGUGGCCUCUGCUGAGGCAGGUGGUUUCUACUGGAGAUAUGGGCUAGAGUUGGUGAGGGGGGACAGUAGGGAAUAAUCUGAGCAUGGCCUGAGAAAAUAUUGGCAUUUUGUAGGGUGGGAGGCUUACUUGUUGCUCCUUUUGUCAGCAUUGCCUCUGGUGAAGCAUGGGGCUUCUGUCAGAGUUGUGGACAUGAACAUGGAGAGGAGAAGGGUGUGUUGUCGAAAGUAUACCAAGAGAACACUGAGGGAGUAUUGGCAGCCUGCAAAGGUUGGGGCUCACCUGGGGUUCAGGUUGUAGACAUGGUCUGUAGUGGGCCAGGAUAUGGUCAAUAAUCAGAUUUCUAAAUAAGAACACUAGUGCUCAAGUGGCUGUAUUUAUUUCAGAUAUGUCAACCAAAAAUUUAGACACAUGUAACUAAGUAGGAAAAGAGUAGCUUCAGAAUCCACAUUACCUAUUACUUUACCAAAAUGAAAAUAGUAUAUAGGACCACUUUUAAAAGAUGAGGCUUGGAAUUAAUGGAUGGAACUAUUCAGUGACUUUAUUUCAUAUGGAUAAAAAUGGGCAAAUUUUCCACUUUGUCCUGCCCAAAAGAAAAAAAAAAAACCCAAAACCCAAAAGGUCAGGUCUUUGCAUUGCUGGAUUUGUGUUUCCUAAUAGAGGGUGUUUAAAACUUUUUUCUUGGGGUUGGGGAUUUAGCUCAGUGGUAGAGCGCUUGCCUAGCAAGCACAAGGCCCUGGGUUCGGGCCCCAGCUCCAAAAAAAAAAAAAAAAAAAAAAAAACCUUUUUUCUUACAGUCCUUGAAUUCGCAAUAAGAGAUUUAUUAUAAGAGAUUAAAAAUAAAAUGCUCUUUAUUACUGAGUUAUAAGAGAUAUUUAUUUAUUUUAGAUGGAAGUCUGCUAUCAAAAUCUACAGAGAAACACACCACUAGAACUAAUAAAGUAGUUUAGAAAGCUGUAGGAAGCAAGGAGUUUGCAAAAGCAAUUAUAUUUGUGUGUACAAGUGACAACUGCUUCUCAAAAAAGCCUAUAAUAUAAAAAAUUACUUUGGAAUGAGUACCACAAAGAAUUUAAGAUAUGUACACCAUGAGAAAUUAAAUAAGACCAAGAAAAAUGAUAAAAAUUCUGUUUAUAGUUUGGGGACCUCAAUAUAUUUAAGAUGUAACUUUGUUUUAUAUAACAUAUAGAGUAAAAACUUCAAACAAAUUUCUAGAUCUUCAGUUGAAAAUAAGUUUACCUCAAAUUUGUUUAUGAAAACAUCGGCAUUUCGAAUAACUUGUAAAGAAUCAUAGGCAGCACAUUAUCUUAUUUGUAAUGCUUCUUUAGAGGUACAGCAAUGCAAACCAAAUGAUACUCGCCUGUGGAGAGGCGCAGAGCAGAGGAGCACACGAGACAAGUUUGCAGACAGAUCCUCACGUACAUAAUCAAUUGACUUAUCAACCCAGUAGCUUCAGUAAUUCAGUAGGAAAAUCAGCAGAUCUUUAAGCAAUGUUCUUCUUUUGCAAAAUUUUGAUACCAGUAUGUAAAAAUUAAGCUUGAUUCAUACUUAACUGAAAUUAGGAGAGCACAGACUUGCUUAUAAAGCAACAUUAUAACAAGACCAUAUAAGACCAGGUCAUUGCGAUGAGUUUGAGAUACCGCACGAUGACACAAAUGAAGGACUUGAGGAUUUAUCUCAUCGAUAGAACACUUGUGAUACAAUGCUCUGGAUUCAGUCUCCAGCAUUGGGAGAAAACUAAACUAAAUAGACUAUCUAAGAGACAGUUGGAGCACAGACUGCCUUGGUUAAAAAAAAAGUGCUCUCAUCCCUGCCACACAUCACACACACACAGACACAGACACACACACACACACACACACAUACACACAGACACACAGACAGACACAGAUUGAUACACACAGACACACACAUACAGAGACAUACACAUAGACACACAGACCCAUACACACAGACACACAAACAGACACAGACACACACACAGAUGCACACACACACAGACACGCACACACAGAUGCACAGACACACACACAGACAGACACACACAGAAACACACAGACACAUAGACACCAAAGCACAUAUACACACACAGAUACACACACAGACACACACACAUUUUGUUGUCCUGCAAACACAUGGAUGCCUAAAGACUUUGCAGCUACUUGUGUAAGAAUUUCCUCACUACUGUAUUUUCAUGACAAGUCCAACCAUCUUCAAGCUUAAAUCGGACAAGACUUCAGUAAGGCUUGUCACUCCUCCAUCCUUACAGUGGGUUUCUUCUGCUCUGAUUUGUUUAAACUCUUCUUCAUUCAUGAUUGUAUCUCCAUUGUCUUUUUCCCACCCAAUAUCUGAAAUAAAAAGAAGUACAAAAAAACUAGUCUUGAAAAGGCAAAUAGUGUCAGGUGUUGACCUACCCGGCUUUCUGUUCAUGUCACUCAGGGACACAGUGUUUUAUGGUGAAUACAGUACUCUAAAAAGACUCAGCCACUUCCUUUGCUGUGGUUUAUCUUUUCCUCAGAGAAACCAGAAUGAGUUUUUUUUUUAAAUAAAAUGAUUGAAAAGGUACACUGAAUCUCCAAUUUAAUUAUUCCAAUUCCUGCACAAAGGUCUUUCACGGAGGCUGCUGCUUGGUAAAUGCGAUAAAGUUCAAAUGCAUUCUUAAAAAUUGCAAAUUAAUUUAUAAAUUUCCAUUCAAAGUUCGAGCUUGCUAUUUUCAAAUAGAAAAACACAUACAAUUACUUCCUAUUGAUUUGGUAUCCCUAAAUCUAGAGUUUAAGUUAACAUUUAAUCACUUUCUCGAAGUUUCCAGAGGUGUGUGAUUCAAACCAGAGGGAAGGACUGCUGAGCAUGAUUGGAGUCCCUUUAGAAGCCGGGUUCUGACUUAUGUUUCCCAUUCGAUAGCUCUCAAUCUUUGUGUUUUCACAGAGCAAGUCACUUCCCAUACUCUUCCUGGGCUCUGAGUUUUUCUGGAUUUUGUUUGUGUGUUAUGUGCUUGCCUGCCUUCCCUUCCAUAUCCCAUUACUGACCUCUGUUCUGCUGUCGCCACAAGUACUACCGUCUGCUAAAACUCCACUGGGCUGUACAAGGCAGCCUAACAUUCCCUUUCCUUACAUUCCCUGGCACACUUGGUAACUCUUAAUGGAACAUCUUUUAUGUGUUUUAUCCUAUUUCUUUUAGCUGGAUAAAAAAGCUCCGAGAAAGUAUCAUGGUGUCCAGUUCAUCUCCAAGGCUCUUGUAGCAUCUGCCACAGUUUCUUCAAUAAGAAAUUUCAAUAAUUAUUAAUUUAGCUGAACUAAAUUAAUGUCAAACCACUUUCUUGUUACUGUGUAUUGACAAAAUAAUUAUAACAAGUUCAUAACAAUGGUAAGCAGUAGAGACAGGAUUUGAGUACAGGCACACACAGUUCACCACACUUUGAACCUCUCUUUGUUGUCUUGGCAACAGAAAAGAUAUAUUGUAAAGCUGUUAGUGCGGUUAUGUAAAUUGGCUACAUUUGCAAAAAUACAGAAAUUGCCCUAAUGAAACUUAACCCUGAUUGUGUGAAGUGUGUAUGAUAUGUGGUGUGUAUGUGUGUGUGUGUGUAUAUGUAUGUAUGUAUGUAUGUAUGUAUGUAUGUAUGUAUGUAUAUUUGUUAAAGA